UACGAAGGGGGCGAGCGUUGUUCGGAUUUACUGGGCGUAAAGGGCGCGCAGGCGGCGAGUUUUGUCAGGCGUGAAAGCCCCGGGCUCAACCUGGGAAUUGCGAUGGAGACUGCAAGGCUAGAAUCUGGCAGAGGGGGGUAGAAUUCCACGUGUAGCAGUGAAAUGACGUAGAGAUGUGGAGGAACACCGAUGGCGAAGGCAGCCCCCUGGGUCAAGAUUGACGCUCAUGCACGAAAGCGUGGGAGCAACAGG
rnacentral:rRNA from 1 species